rnacentral:lncRNA from 1 species
CGCUCAUCAAGGAAAAACACACCUCUUCUAUUAGGUUAACUUGGAGGACUCCAUUUAAUAUCCUUAUAUGGCUUACAUUAUUUAUUACAUUCCCUAGUAUGUUCAUGGAAACUCUGCUGACACAUAGGUGACAACAAAGAAAAUUGAAUCACAUUUCACAGAAAAACAACCCAGGACAGGAUUCAGCAAAGGGAUCUGGAAAAUCCCCUAGGGCAAAUUUUCUAAGUUAAAAGGCAACCAAAGCUCAUUAGUCUUGAGAUUAGGUCCUGAAGACAGUGCAUUUAAAAAUAUAAAUCAAAUAAUCUUUGUGAAUUUUCACUAUCACUAAGCAAAAAUAAACACACAAUAAAAGUGAAAAAGGAACAGAAGAAAAUGCCAAAAUCACAGCAUCUUUGAAUGUAAUGAUAUCUGCAUCUACUCCUUAAUAUUAAAUAGAUAAUGCCAAUUAUAGGAUAUCAAGUAAAACAACAACAAAGAAUUAAAUAAAUUACACUAUGAUUCUUAAAACAAAUAGGUUUAGUUGUGUUAAAAUAUUUGUAACACCUCCUUAAUUUCGAAUCAUAUGAGUAACUUUCCCUCCUAUUUUUCUCUUUUCCAUGUCUGUUUCUGUGUCUAUCAUUUCCUCUCUCUCUCCUCCUAUCUAUCUAUCCAUAACACCAGGAAGAAUUCUUCUGAUAUGAUGAUCUUCUGUGAUCAAUUUCGGGUGAUUGUGAUUUCCUUACUUUAACUUCACAAUUUGUGCCAAAAGCAUAUUUUUAUCUUAAACACAAAUAGUUUGUAAAAGGCUAAUUAGACAAAACAAAACAAAGGAAAAUUCCUUAACAGUAACCUCAUUGUUUGUUAGUUUUAAUGCCCAUUUCUAUAUUGACUAUAUAACCUUCAUGUAUCCUCACAUAGUCAAGUUUUCAUUCUACUCAUACUCUAAUUGUGAAAGAAAUUAUUUGGGGAGGAUGGAUAGGCCAUUGAAAUCUCUUAGGCAGAUUUGCUGAGGUCCAUGAGUCAUGGGAGAAACUAUUCCUCAUCUAUGACAUAGCUGGUGAUUUCCCUUUUGGAACUUCAUAGGUUUAACCUAAACACUAAAUAAAAGUUUCUUUCCGGCAUAAUUAGCUUUCUUUUGAAGAGAUUCCUCUGAUCUUCAUUCCUGUAAGGCUCAGGCUAAGCAGAUGCAGGCCAGGCCUGAUUAUUCCCAGAUAUUGGAUGUAAUGUAGAGAGACCAAUGUCUUUUGCUUUGGUGAAAUUAGUGAGAGAGGGAUCAAUGAAAAGAUUGUUGUGCUCUAGCUUCAGCCAGUGUCCCCUGAGGUGCCUGUGAAAUAUAGUAAAAGUUUAUUUUUAUAAGAUAGCAAUCUAUUAUUUAUUGAGUUUAUCCAACUAAGAAAUGUUUAGAGAAAUAAAGAAAAUAUGUAUCAUAUGAGAUAAAUUUGACAAAGUCAGUGCUGUCUUGUG